GACGAACGCUGGCGGCGCGCUUAACACAUGCAAGUCGAGCGAAUCGGCGGCCGGUUGAGUAACACGUGAGUAACCUGCCUUAGACAUUGGGAUCGCCUCGGGAAACCGGGAUUGAUACCAAAUGGUCUACGAUGGACUCGCGUCCCAUUAGCUAGUUGGUGGGUAACGGCCCACCAAGGCGACGAUGGGUAGCCGGCACGGGAGGGCGAACGGGCACAUUGGAACUGAGAAACAGUCCGAACUCUACGGGAGGCAGAAAUGGGGAAGAUUGAACAAUGGAGGGAACACGGAUGCAGCGAGGCUGCGAGAACGAAGAAGGCGGGAGAGACGGAAAGCUCGUUUAUAUGGGAAGCGGUACCAUAAGAAAAAGCCCCGGCUAACUACGUGCCAGCAGCCGCGGUAAUUC
rnacentral:rRNA from 1 species